rnacentral:misc_RNA from 1 species
GGGGAAGUAAAGGUUGACAAAAUUGAUUUUAAGAAGACAGCCACUACUCGCUCAUCACAUUGAUCCAUGUUCUAAUGAUCUCUGUACUUCUUGUAGUUCCCUAGAAUUUGUUUAGUUGAGGGGUCUUAUGUGACUAUAGAAGCCUUGUUAUCCUGUUUCUAAAUCUAAACACGAUACAUAUGGAGAUGAAUAAAUGUGUUUUUAUUGAUGAAAAAAA